rnacentral:rRNA from 1 species
CAGGACGAACGCUGGCGGCGUGCUUAACACAUGCAAGUCGAACGAGAAUCACUGGAAGGAGUUUCGGACAACGGAAGGUGAGGAAAGUGGCGGACGGGUGAGUAACGCGUGAGGAACCUGCCUUGGAGAGGGGGACAACAGCUGGAAACGGCUGCUAAUACCGCAUGACGCACGGAGGGGACAUCCCCAUCGUGCCAAAGAUUUAUCGCUCUGAGAUGGCCUCGCGUCUGAUUAGGUAGUUGGUGAGGUAACGGCCCACCAAGCCGACGAUCAGUAGCCGGACUGAGAGGUUGAACGGCCACAUUGGGACUGAGAUACGGCCCAGACUCCUACGGGAGGCAGCAGUGGGGAAUAUUGGGCAAUGGGGCCGCAAGCCUGACCCAGCAACGCCGCGUGAAGGAAGAAGGCUUUCGGGUUGUAAACUUCUUUUAAGGGGGAAGAGCAGAAGACGGUACCCCUAGAAUAAGCCACGGCUAACUACGUGCCAGCAGCCGC